CACGUAGGGGGCGAGCGUUGUCCGGAUUUAUUGGGCGUAAAGAGCUCGUAGGCCGUUCGGUAAGUCAGAUGUGAAAACUCCAGGCUCAACUUGGAGAGGCCAUCUGAUACUGCUGUGACUAGAGUCCGGUAGGGGAGCACGGAAUUCCUGGUGUAGCGGUGAAAUGCGCAGAUAUCAGGAAGAACACCCGUGGCGAAAGCGGCUCUCUGGAACGGUACUGACGCUGAGACGCGAAAGCGUGGGGAGCGAACAGG
rnacentral:rRNA from 1 species